UUUGGCUUGUUUUAUCUACUGUAAGCUGCCUGGUAAGUUAUGCCUUUUAUCACCAAAACCAAAUAUUUCAGAUGAAAGCAUUGUGCCAAAAUGAUCUGUGAGAGUUCUGUGCCAAACAGAGUUGGCAUUUGGACCAUGCUGUUGUAGACAACAAAUGUCACUGGACCAUUAUAUCAUAGAAAUGUUAAAUCAGAGCAGCUGAGGAUAAAUCCUCGUCCUCUGAUUGGAUGCACUUAAGAGGGCUGGGCCCUGUUUAUCUAUACCUCAUGAUGAUGAUGAACAUGCAGAUUCCACUUUGUUACUGUGCGCCAGGGGUGAUGGGGAAGAGGAGGCAGCCUCUUUUAAAGAGUUAAGGACUUCACAUGUCCACCUUUUGAGUGCACAUAAAUUACCUCUAACUUCAGCACGAUUUACCAAUAUUUCAGUGUGGAUUUUGGGAUUGUUGAUGCUGGUUGUGAAGGACUUUGAGAGAAGUCUAAACUCAAACAUUCUGAGUGUGGUUUAAACAAACACAUUGGAGGAUCACGUCUGAUGCGUGACAACAGGCUUGUAUGUUAUUUAAGUGGAGCUGUUAGCACAAGGACGGUGAGCCAGUUUGAGUCCACAGACCCUGCUGCUUUGACCGCAACUCCUAGUUUCAACCAAUAAGAUUGUUUUUGCUUUUCAGUAUUACUCUAUGAUAUGUUCAUUCAUGUUGCAUCAGGUUUUUAUUAAUUAAAAUUGCAGAAUUCUAUCUUUAAGAUCGUUAGGUCUUCACUCUUCAAGAGGAAAAACGUAUUUUAAACCUUUUAUUUUUAAUUUUGUUGCAUGCUUUAAAAAGUCCGUGUAUUAUACUGAUGUCUCCCAGAUAGGUGUUGAAAAAUUCAAAAGGGGUGGGUAGCUGAUUAUUGGGAUGGUUUUACCAAAAUAUAUACCCAAAGAUAUGUAUGUGUGUUUUAGGAUUGCUUUGGAUGGAAUUAACCUUUGACCUUUGCGAUUGUAUUUCCUGUUCUGUAGAGGCUCUGCAGACCACAACCUGUUCAGUCGGCUGCAUUUCGGUUCUUGAGGCACAAGAACCGAAAUGGGGGUGGCCCUUGACCAUUAGUGCUUAAUUUUCUUUAACUCCCUCUAAAAUUCGUAAAAUGUUAGGCAUAUAAACAGAUUUUUCUUUCACACUGAAGCCCUGUAUCUUUAGGAGGUAACAGCUUACUCCUAAACACUGAUUUCAAACGAUGAUGAAUCCAUAAGGCGGCCAUUUUGCGUUGGGCCUUGUAAUGGAAAACCAAGGCUGCAUUCCAGAUCACAUACUUUGUCUUUUUACUUUAAGUAUGUACAAUAGCAGCCUUAACAGAGUACGUACGGUUUACUUCAGUAUGCAUACAAUAGAACUGGACAUACUACUUUGCUGUAGUAUUGCGCCUUAUGGCCAUCACAGUCUGUAAUGCAAAGUCAGGACAGCCGGUAUUUUUGGCAUACUACAUUUGACAAUACUACCUGUUGGGGCGAACUAAAUCAUUUUCUGGCACACUAUAUAGUUUGAAAGUAUGGAUAUUGGAAUGCUCCCUAGGUUUCUUCAGCACAAACUAGCAAUCAUCUCCCCUCGUUGAAUCCAGGAAGUGUGGCAAUGGCUGCUUAAUACGUGAUCAGUUGACUGCACUCCUGCUCGGCGGGCUUUUUUCUUGUUUUUUUUUUUUUUUUUUUUUUUAAUCUUUUAUUGGGCCCCUGUGGUUGUGUCCACCAUUUUAUUUCUGGCCUCUCAUGACUUUAAGAGAGAGAAAAAAGCAAAGCUGCACCAGGCGACAUGUGCAAGGUCAUAGACCUCCUUUUAAAUGAUUGUAUACUCGAAAGAAAGAAGAAAAAAAGUACAAAUACUUAACACCACUUGAUACUCAUUGGCCCUUUUAGAAUGUAUUUUGUGAAGAAAAGGGUUAAAUGGGAUCUUGUUGAUGCUCACUCGCUACCGACAGCUGCUGCAAACAUUACAAAACAGAACAGAGACCACGAACGUUUGAUGCUCCACAACAGUGAUACUUAAGAGUUUUAGGUGGAAACACACAGCUGUGGUGGAGCAUAUCGUGUUUGUUUAUGAACCAGUUUUAACAUCAGCCAAGAUGGAAGGUGUUUGGCCUGAGCUAGCUCAUCUAGUCUUUGUGUCCUGUUCUCCUGGCAGCAGGUUGCGUAGAGAGUGGGCGUUGUGUUUGUGCGCUGCAUCUGUGUUGUCUAAGCAGAAAUCCACUGAAUGUAUCCUCCUCACAGUCCAAGAGGCAGAGCAAAGCGGUGUGGCCAGCUGAGUUUAGAUGGCUGCUGCUGGUACUUCCUCAUCCAAGCCGCUGUGUGUGUGUGUGUGUGUGUGUGUGUUUAUCACUCAAACCUUCUGUGUGUGUGUUUGUGUGUGUGUGUGUGUCUGCGUUUGCCAGCACACCUUCCCGCCCUCUUUACACACACUCACACAUUGUGCUGAAUGGAAGUACAGAUGUCAGGUCUUCAGUCUAAAUAAGGCAGAGGAGACUAUAAUAUAUUAGCCACCUGCUGCUCUCUCUGUACUCUGUGGACUUUAAACAUUUCCUAUGCAGUUUUUUGGUUGUUUUUUGUUUACACUUAAAUAAAGUUGUAUUUCUUUGACUUC
ensembl:lncRNA